rnacentral:tRNA from 1 species
GUUUCUGUAGUGUAGUGGUUAUCACGUUCGCUUUACACGCGAAAGGUCCCUGGUUCGAAACCGGGCAGAAGCA